CACUUGCAUCUUUAUAUCUUCUCUGCAACUAAUUCUUUUUGUAAAAAGUUUUGCUCUUAUUCAAUCUUAAUCUGGCAUUUAAAAGGUGAAAGAGAAAAUUUAGCCAUAAUAUUUUUCGUAUUAAUUUUUGCAUAUCUACGUAGACUUGCUUGGAAUAUAUGCCUAGAUGUAUAAUUUUGUAUAAUUGAUGAACAAACUCUGAUUUUUAGAGUAACUCGAUUCCUUUGGCACACUGAUGCAGCCAAGGUGCUUGAUGAUCUGACCCAAACAACUAGCUUUUCUCUAGUUGACAAGUUGAUAAGGAGGAUGCAUCUGUCUCAAUUUACUUUCUACAUGCAUGUUUCAUGAUCUAUGCGAUGCAACUUUACUAUGUAUCAUAUAAUAAAAUGUCUCACCUUACAUUGAGUCUUGGGAUAUGUUGAGUCGAUUUCUAUAGCAACAUUUGGUCCAAAAAUCUUUUAAGUGUUUAAUUAAUCCUGUGAUAGGACAAUAUAAAUAUUUAAUCGAAUGUAGGUGUACGUAUCUUGAAGCUCAGAUCUUCUGAAAUUGCCGCAGCGAUGAUAAUGUUUGAUUCAGUCUACCAAGGAAAAGAAGAACACAUUGAAAGUAAUACUAGUCUGCUGCACAAGACAACUAUGAUCUUGGCUGAAGAGAGUAUGGAAGUGGAGGUUCCCAAGAUUUAGGUUGCCUAAGGUCCCAUUUUUCGGGAGUGAAACCUGCAACUGCAAAAGCUUUGAAAAUAUUCCCUAUAGCGAAGGCAGGAACGAGAAUUGUGCCUCUUAUGUUUAAAUGGCGGUGAGCAUGCAAAAAUCGUGGGAAUUGCUAUAUUGGAUUGUGCCACUGUCUGAAUAAUGAAUGCAUUAAUUUUUUUCUCUUUCGGUAAAGCGACUUGCAUUCCAGAUUUGGAUAGGAGUUGAGCACACAUUUUAGAGCGAUAGGUUGUAACUUUGGUUAAGGCUCCUCAAUACACAUCUAAGUUUUGAUUAUUUCCUACGAUAUUUCAUCACAUAUUAAAGGAG